rnacentral:tRNA from 1 species
GCCAUGGUAGUGUAAUAGAUCAACACGACAGAACGAAUAUCUAUAAGUGCGGAUUCGAGUCCCACCCGUGGCU